rnacentral:rRNA from 1 species
CUGGUUGAUCCUGCCAGUAGUCAUAUGCUUGUCUCAAAGAUUAAGCCAUGCAUGUCUCAGUACAAGCCAAAUUAAGGUGAAACCGCGAAAGGCUCAUUAAAUCAGUUAUGGUUCCUUAGAUCGUACCACAUUUACUUGGAUAACUGUGGUAAUUCUAGAGCUAAUACAUGCAAACAGAGCUCCGACCGGAGACGGAAGGAGCGCUCUUAUUAGAUCAAAACCG